rnacentral:rRNA from 1 species
UUCCGGUUGUCCUGCCGGAGCCCUGCUACGUGGAAGCGGCUAGCCAUGCAGUGGUGGGCGUUCCGAAGGUAUGGCCCCGCCACGGCUCAGUACACGUAGUUAACCUGCCCUCGUGACAGGAACAACGCCGGGAAACUGGCGAUAAUUCCAGAUAGGUGGGGGCGCUGGAAUGCCUCCUUGCCUAAAUCCUCUGGGGCCCGAGGAUGGACUGCGGCCUAUCAGGUGUUGGCGGUUAACGGACCACCAAACCUACAACGGGACGGGCGAUGGAGUCGGAGCCCGGAGAUGGGGACUAAGACAAGGCCCCAGGGCCCUACGGGGCGCAGCAGGUACGAAAACUCCGCAAUGCGCGAAAGCGUGACGGGGGAACCCCAAGUGCCGUUGGUCUUUGAUCGACGGCUUUUAGGGAGUCUAAGAAGCUCCCAGAAUAAGGGCUGGGCAAGUCGGGUGCCGGCCGCCGCGGUAAUACCCGCAGCCCAAGUGGUGGUCGCGAUUAUUGGGCCUAAAGCGCUCGUAGCCGGGUCAGCAAGUCCCUUGUGAAAUCGGGCGGCCUAACCGUUCGGCUUGCAAGGGAUACUGUUGGUCUUGAGGCCGGGAGACGUCUGAGGUACUCCGGGGGUAGCGGUAAAAUGCUGUAAUCCUCGGGGGACCACCAGUGGCGAAGGCGUCAGACGAGAACGGACCUGACGGUGAGGGGCGAAGGCUAGGGGAGCGAACGGGAUUAGAUACCCCGGUAGUCCUAGCUGUAAAGCAUGCGGGCCAGGUGUCUGGUGUUCCUUGAGAGCACCAAGUGCCGGAGGGAAGCCGUUAAGCCCGCCGCCUGGGAAGUACGGUCGCAAGGCUGAAACUUAAAGGAAUUGGCGGGA